ACAGUACGAGAAAACGGACAGUAGGUGAGACCGGUGGACAAAAAUGGACAUUGGUACACAGAGAUUGUCUGGACAGAUACAAAACAGAUCCAAAUGGACUGAGCUGGAGGGGGCGGGACGGACGCUAGUGACAGGAAACAACUGGGACACACACACACACUGGCUCCAGAUGGUUCAGUGACCCCAGUGCUGGAAGGAAUGCGUUCGCUACGAGAAGAAGUUGCAGAGAACUCUGAAGUGGACACUAAUAUGUUUGACUGGUCUGAUUCUGUAUUUGCUAAAUAAAAAGCCUUAGUGAUGCCCAUA